AUUGAACGCUGGCGGCAUGCCUUACACAUGCAAGUCGAACGGUAACAGGUCUUCGGAUGCUGACGAGUGGCGAACGGGUGAGCAAUACAUCGGAACGUGCCUAGUAGUGGGGGAUAACUACUCGAAAGAGUGGCUAAUACCGCAUGAGAUCUACGGAUGAAAGCAGGGGAUCGCAAGACCUUGUGCUACUAGAGCGGCCGAUGGCAGAUUAGGUAGUUGGUGGGAUAAAAGCUUACCAAGCCGACGAUCUGUAGCUGGUCUGAGAGGACGAUCAGCCAAACUGGGACUGAGACACGGCGCAGACUCCUACGGGAGGCAGCAGUGGGGAAUUUUGGACAAUGGGCGCAAGCCUGAUCCAGCAAUGCCGCGUGCAGGAUGAAGGCCUUCGGGUUGUAAACUGCUUUUGUACGGAACGAAAAACCCUGGGUUAAUACCCUGGGGUCAUGACGGUACCGUAAGAAUAAGCACCGGCUAACUACGUGCCAGCCGCCGCAGUAACAC
rnacentral:rRNA from 1 species